CCUACGGGAGGCAGCAGUGGGGAAUAUUGGACAAUGGGCGCAAGCCUGAUCCAGCCAUGCCGCGUGAGUGAAGAAGGCCUUCGGGUUGUAAAGCUCUUUUGUCCGGAAAGAAAAGCAUUCGGUUAAUAACCGGGUGUCAUGACGGUACCGGAAGAAUAAGCACCGGCUAACUUCGUGCCAGCAGCCGCGGUAAUACGAAGGGUGCAAGCGUUACUCGGAAUUACUGGGCGUAAAGCGUGCGUAGGUGGUUUGUUAAGUCUGAUGUGAAAGCCCUGGGCUCAACCUGGGAACGGCAUUGGAUACUGGCUUACUAGAGUGCGGUAGAGGGGUGUGGAAUUCCCGGUGUAGCAGUGAAAUGCGUAGAUAUCGGGAGGAACAUCUGUGGCGAAGGCGACACCCUGGACCAGCACUGACACUGAGGCACGAAAGCGUGGGGAGCA
rnacentral:rRNA from 1 species